UUUCCCCUUCGGGGGACAGAGUGACAGGUGGUGCAUGGUUGUCGUCAGCUCGUGUCGUGAGAUGUUGGGUUAAGUCCCGCAACGAGCGCAACCCUUAAGCUUAGUUGCCAUCAUUAAGUUGGGCACUCUAAGUUGACUGCCGGUGACAAACCGGAGGAAGGUGGGGAUGACGUCAAAUCAUCAUGCCCCUUAUGAUUUGGGCUACACACGUGCUACAAUGGACAAUACAAAGGGCAGCGAAACCGCGAGGUCAAGCAAAUCCCAUAAAGUUGUUCUCAGUUCGGAUUGUAGUCUGCAACUCGACUAUAUGAAGCUGGAAUCGCUAGUAAUCGUAGAUCAGCAUGCUACGGUGAAUACGUUCCCGGGUCUUGUACACACCGCCCGUCACACCACGAGAGUUUGUAACACCCGAAGCCGGUGGAGUAACCAUUGGAGCUAGC
rnacentral:rRNA from 1 species